AGUGAACGCUGGCGGUAGGCCUAACACAUGCAAGUCGAACGGCAGCACAGUAAGAGCUUGCUCUUACGGGUGGCGAGUGGCGGACGGGUGAGGAAUACAUCGGAAUCUACUUUUUCGUGGGGGAUAACGUAGGGAAACUUACGCUAAUACCGCAUACGCCCUACGGGUGAAAGCAGGGGAUCUUCGGACCUUGCGCGAUUGAAUGAGCCGAUGUCGGAUUAGCUAGUUGGCGGGGUAAAGGCCCACCACGGCGACGAUCCGUAGCUGGUCUGAGAGGAUGAUCAGCCACACUGGAACUGAGACACGGUCCAUACUCCUACGGGAGGCAGCAGUGGGGAAUAUUGGACAAUGGGCGCAAGCCUGAUCCAGCCAUACCGCGUGGGUGAAGAAGGCCUUCGGGUUGUAAAGCCCUUUUGUUGGGAAAGAAAAGCAGCAGGUUAAUACCCCGCUGUUCUGACGGUACCCAAAGAAUAAGCACCGGCUAACUUCGUG
rnacentral:rRNA from 1 species